UCUAGCCAUGGGCAGGUUGAAGGUUGGGUAACACUAACUGGAGGACCGAACCGACUAAUGUUGAAAAAUUAGCGGAUGACCUGUGGCUGGGGGUGAAAGGCCAAUCAAACCGGGAGAUAGCUGGUUCUCCCCGAAAGCUAUUUAGGUAGCGCCUCGUGAAUUCAUCUCCGGGGGUAGAGCACUGUUUCGGCUAGGGGGCCAUCCCGGCUUACCAACCCGAUGCAAACUGCGAAUACCGGAGAAUGUUAUCACGGGAGACACACGGCGGGUGCUAACGUCCGUCGUGAAGAGGGAAACAACCCAGACCGCCAGCUAAGGUCCCAAAGUCAUGGUUAAGUGGGAAACGAUGUGGGAAGGCCCAGACAGCCAGGAUGUUGGCUUAGAAGCAGCCAUCAUUUAAAGAAAGCGUAAUAGCUCACUGGUCGAGUCGGCCUGCGCGGAAGAUGUAACGGGGCUAAACCAUG
rnacentral:rRNA from 3 species